rnacentral:rRNA from 1 species
UACAGAGGUCUCAAGCGUUGUUCGGAUUCAUUGGGCGUAAAGGGUGCGUAGGUGGCGCUGUAAGUCGGGUGUGAAAUUUCGGAGCUUAACUCCGAAACUGCAUCGAUACUGACGGUGCUUGAGGACUGGAGAGGAGACUGGAAUUCAUGGUGUAGCAGUGAAAUGCGUAGAGAUCAUGAGGAAGACCAGUGGCGAAGGCGGGUCUCUGGACAGUUCCUGACACUGAGGCACGAAGGCCAGGGGAGCAAACGGG